rnacentral:rRNA from 1 species
AUUGAACGCUGGCGGCAGGCCUAACACAUGCAAGUCGAACGGUAACAGGCUGUAUGGGAUCCCUUCGGGGUGAACUUGGCGCUGACGAGUGGCGAACGGGUGAGUAACGCGUAGGAAUCUACCCAGGAGUGGGGGACAACCCGGAGAAAUCCGGGCUAAUACCGCAUCCGCCCUACGGGGUAAAGUGGGGGACCUCUUCGGAGGCCUCACGCUUCUGGAUGAGCCUGCGUCGGAUUAGCUUGUUGGUGAGGUAACGGCUCACCAAGGCGACGAUCCGUAGCUGGUCUGAGAGGAUGACCAGUCACACUGGGACUGAGACACGGCCCAGACUCCUACGGGAGGCAGCAGUGGGGAAUAUUGGACAAUGGGGGAAACCCUGAUCCAGCCAUGCCGCGUGUGUGAAGAAGGCCCUAGGGUUGUAAAGCACUUUCAGUGGGGAAGAAAAGCCUAAGGAUAAUACCCUUGGGUCUUGACGGUACCUACAGAAGAAGCACCGGCUAAUUCCGUG